UACAGAGAGUGCAAGCGUUGUUCGGAAUCACUGGGCUUAAAGCGCACGUAGGCGGCACUGUAAGUGUCGGGUGAAAUCCCACGGCUCACCCGUGGAACUGCCCGGCAGACUGUGGUGCUCGAGUGUGGUAGGGGAGAGCGGAACUCCUGGUGGAGCGGUGAAAUGCGUAGAUAUCAGGAGGAACACCGAUGGCGAAGGCAGGUCUCUGGGCCGCAACUGACGCUGAGGAGCGAAAGCAUGGGGAGCGAACAGG
rnacentral:rRNA from 1 species